rnacentral:rRNA from 1 species
AGACCCGAAACCCGGUGAUCUAGCCAUGGGCAGGUUGAAGGUUGGGUAACACUAACUGGAGGACCGAACCGACUAAUGUUGAAAAAUUAGCGGAUGACCUGUGGCUGGGGGUGAAAGGCCAAUCAAACCGGGAGAUAGCUGGUUCUCCCCGAAAGCUAUUUAGGUAGCGCCUCGUGAAUUCAUCUCCGGGGGUAGAGCACUGUUUCGGCUAGGGGGCCAUCCCGGCUUACCAACCCGAUGCAAACUGCGAAUACCGGAGAAUGUUAUCACGGGAGACACACGGCGGGUGCUAACGUCCGUCGUGAAGAGGGAAACAACCCAGACCGCCAGCUAAGGUCCCAAAGUCAUGGUUAAGUGGGAAACGAUGUGGGAAGGCCCAGACAGCCAGGAUGUUGGCUUAGAAGCAGCCAUCAUUUAAAGAAAGCGUAAUAGCUCACUGGUCGAGUCGGCCUGCGCGGAAGAUGUAACGGGGCUAAACCAUGCACCGAAGCUGCGGCAGCGAACGUAUCACUUAAAGCGAUUCAGCGGGUUACGAUUGACGGAGCGAAGCGACGUCAAAGCGUAUACAAAGUCGAGUCGGUUUAAGGAUACGUUCGUUGGGUAGGGGAGCGUUCUGUAAGCCUGUGAAGGUGUGUCGUGAGGCAUGCUGGAGGUAUCAGAAGUGCGAAUGCUGACAUAAGUAACGAUAAAGCGGGU